UGUUGACAUUAUAGUUGUGCAGGCACUUUGGUGACUCUAGAGAACCUCGGGCCAAUCACAUGUCCCCGUGAUGGUGACUUUGCAUUCGGAUGUCUGCCUUAUCGACUUUCAAUGCCACUUUCAGCGCCUACUAUGGUGACCACGAGUAACGAGGAAUCAGGGUUCGAUUCCGGAGAGGGAGCCUGAGAAACGGCUACCACAUCCAAGGAAGGCAGCAGGCGUGUAAAUUACCCACUCCCGACGCGGGGACGUAGAGACGACA